CACCCUCUUUCCACUUUGCCAACUGGAUGUAUGUCUUUACCGGUCAUUCCAGUGGGGCAAACAACAUAUCCUUUUUAAAACUCAGGCAAACUGGGUGUUUGUCAUGCAUGUAUCCUGUCAGACAAAACAAAC
ensembl:snoRNA